AUUGAACGCUGGCGGCAUGCCUUACACAUGGAAGUCGAGCGUGAGCACGUGUUCUUGCUCCUGUUGGCGAGUGGCGUAAGGGUGAGUAAUACAUUGGACCAUGUCUUGUAGUGGGAGAUAGCCCGGCGACAUCCGGAUUAAUACCUCAUACGAUCUACGGCAUAAACCGGGGGACCCUCCCGCCUCGCGCUAUUGGGUUCGCUGAUGGCUGAUUAUGUAGUUGGUGGGGUAAAGGCCUACCAAGGAGACGAUCAGUAGCUGAUCUGUGAGGACGACCAGCCACACUGGGACUGAGACACGGUCCAGACUCCUACGGGAGGCAGCAGUGCCGAAUUUUGGACAAUGGGCGCAAGCGUGAUCCAGCAAUGCCGCGUGUGUGAAGAAGGUCUUAGGAUUCUAAAGAACUUUUGUCCGGAAAGACAUCGUUGGCCCUAAUACGGUCGGGGGAUGACGCUACCGGAAGAAUAAGCACCGGCUAACUACGUG
rnacentral:rRNA from 1 species